CCAUGUUGACCAGGAUGGUCUCGAUCUCUUGACCUCGUGAUCCACCCGCCUCGGCCUCCCAAAGUGCUGGGAUUACAGGCUUGAGCCACCGCGCCCGGCCUGUCGUUGGGUUUUGAAGGUUCUUUGAAUGUUUUGGGACAGAGGAGGAGACUCCAGCAAGCUGGAGUCCGAGACCCUGGUCUGCAGUCUGCCCCUGCCCCUCCCUGGGUGAACCUGGCACAUCUGAGCUCCUCCCUGAGCCUGGACUCUGAGCUCUAAAGCGGGAAGAGUAUGAACCCACCUCGGAGGCUUCAGACGUUAUUUCGAUAAAGCACCCUUCCGGCAUGCUGUCGGGGAGUAGAGCAUAAAUGGCUCCUGCCAUUGUCCUUCUUACUGUUGUCAACAGUAAUCACUGUUUUUGUUUAGUUAUUAUUUAUUUUACUUACCACUACUAUUAUUUUAUGUUUUAUAUUAUAUUUGAAGUAACAGAGAACCCAACUUUGGUCUCACCAGAAAAUGAACCAAGAAGUUUACUCUCCCGGCCCCACAGGUGGGGGUAAAGGUGGACCUUGAUGUUACCUCCCAGGUAGACUGGCGGGAACUCACAGAGCCAGCGCUUCCCUCGUCACAGGGACUUGGUGUGAGUGACAUCCAGAUGCAUCUUACACCUCACAUUGCGUACACAGGAUGAGGCCAGGGUCACCUUGGGGACCUGGAAAAUGCUGAUGGAGGAGGCAUCCCUUCCCAGGGGCAGGACAGAAGGCACGCCUGGGUGCUGGCCCUGGGGUCUGACCUUUGCCCCCCCCUUCAGGGGCAGGAGAGAAGGGGGCAGGAUGUCCUGACACAGGGGCCCACCGCAGCCACAUCAGCCACCAGCGUCCUCGCUGGAAGUGCGGAUGGUGAUUUGGUGGGAGGGCUUCACCACUCGGAUGAGCGAAUUGUUCUUUGGCCUGGCACAUUAACCAAAGUGAUUGCUUUGGAGAAUUUUCCCUCCUAGCUGGUCAUUCAGGAAGACCCAGCAAGAUCGCCCUUGCUGAAAACAUCUUGUUGGAAUAAGAGAGAGCCCUAAAUGGCGUCGGUCAUGCUUUCUGAUGUUAUGGAACUGAGCAGGGAGAAAAAGCAACAAUUGUCUCCAAGCAGAGACAAUGGAUCUUUCAUUGGAAAUAUUUAUUUUCGGGGCUGCCCAGCAGUCCCUGGGCUGGGACAGUUCAUGGAGCUCGAGUGUCCGGGAAUGGCAGGCCCCAGGCAUGUAGUUGGGGACAGAGAUUUAGGGAAGAAAAAACGAGUGUCUCUUGACUCGUGGUUCUUGAACAAUUUUCGUGGGCACGUCUGGCUUUCUUUGUUGAGUGGAGGUUAAACUUGCAUGAGUUCAUUUUGUUUUCUUCUGCGAUUUCUUUUUAAAAGCCACAGGGCUGCCCUUGCAAGUGUUGGAGAGAUGGCCAGGUUUGGGGUGGUGGGUAGAUGUGGCCUCCCUCUGCCAGGCCCCGUCGGCCUUAGCUAGCUGGGUCACAAAAUGGAAGUGAGGAAAAAUAGAGCCUGGAAGAGGAAAGCUCUGUCCCCACAGGGCUCAGGGAGGGGCCAUCGAGAGGGCGAUUGGGGCUAGUAGCUGUGGUUUUCCAGGGUCUGCUCUUCCCCAAAUUCCGUUCUCAGAUGAACUUGGGAGUGGCCCGUAGGUUGCGGGAGAGUCUGGCCUGACUUGGUGAAGCCCAACACGAGCAAACACCCUUCCAGGCUGCAGAGGGUGUUUUUGUAACUGACAAACGUGGCCCAGAGUUAGGGCUCCGUGAGUAUUUUCUGAAUUGAUAGAAUGAAGAGAAUUUCACCACAGGCCUACACACGACCCGUCCCCCAGCCCCUUCUCCGAGGUGUCGGAGGAGCUGCCCAGGAAGCCAGGCCAGAGCCCAGGCUCCGAUUAGCAGGUUUGGGAGGGGUGGGCCGUGCCGGGGCCUGAAGUGAAGCAUCGGAAGGGGAGCUUUGGGAAGGCUGAGGUGGCUCAUCGGCCAGGGACACCCAGCCCCUUAGGGGGACCUGUCUGGACACCCCAGCAAGGCCUUGAAGGAGGACAGAUGAGGGAGUGCCCCUGGUCUGGUGGGGGACCAGCGUCACCCAAGCAGCUUUCUUGGCCAAUUCUAAUAUCUGGCUUCAGAAAUGAGGUUUUAUUUUUUUGUCAGUCGGCUGUCACAUGUUUUAUUUUUUGUUCAAUGCGAGAACUUCUCAGCAUGGCCCCUGUCGCCCUCUACCCUAGCCCACUCAGAAGAGAGCUCUCUGUCAGCGUGUCCAGGAGCCUCUGAGGCUAUGGGUGGAACUGGUAAUAUAAAAAUCAUGAAAAAGAAUGAAAUCUUGUGACAAUGGGCAGAAAAACCCCCAAACCAGGUUCCUAGUCACUUUUUUGUGCCUGGUGGGAGGCAGUUUGGAAGUAAAACGAAAAUUGGGGAUGGGAAGCUUCUUGGUGGCGUCUGGAAUGGGGAGUCUCGUCUGUUUGACGACCCAGGAACCCGUGUGGAGAGAGUGGCCGUGCCCACUGUCCAGCUAGCGCCAAGGGGGUUUCCUCGUGGAGACGUGACCGCUGGGUCGCCGGUUCAUGUUGUAAAAUAGGACCGGUGUUUGCUGUUACCAAAUUUGUGCAUGAAAGCCACACAGUAAAAAGGCUAAACAAUUUUUUUUUAAUUCAGUGACAGAAUUUUCCCUCCAGAUUAAAAAAGAAUCGUCCCUUUUGCUUUUGGCUUUCUAAAACCGGGUUUUUGGUGGUGUUUUUUUUUUUUUCCUGUGGAACGCCCUUUCCUUAAUUCUGGCAUUUCAGAUGGCAGGGAGAGCAUUUAGCUGAAAUAUUUACCUGCUGAUUUGGGGCUCGUAAAUUUAGAAUCCCCUUUCAUGUGUUUAAGAGAGAUAUUUACAUUCAAAUCAGCCUUUUAUAAUUACAUUUUAAAUUAUAAUAAAAUGAUGGUGCCGGCGUUCCAGUUUUCUGUAUAUUUUAAUGCUAAGGGAAGCUGCGGCAAAUUGGGUGGGGGCUGCUUGUCCCGCAGAGCCCCGCUGCCCCACUGUGUGGGUUCUGGCCUGCAGGGGCACAUGUGUGUCCUGAGCAUGUGGGCCUACAUGGGUGUUGCCUGUGGGGCCCUCCCCACACUGCCGGGAGAAGGGCAUGGCAGGGAUUCUGGCCCCGCACAGUAUAAUGGUGCCCUAGCCUUGCCACCUGGAGCUCCAUCUGAGAAGGGCCUGAUUCGGGCUGGAGUCCAGGCCCACCGCCCUCGUGUCCUGAGUUCCACGAUGGCCGGUAGGCUUGCCAUUAUCUCCUGGGCAGCCAGCUGGGCACAGCAGUGGCCACUUCUGGUUGAGGCAGUCCUGUGGGUUGGGGAGCGGGUACCUCCUCCUGCAGCCGUAACCCAGGCCCUGCCUCCUCUGCCAUGCCCCUGUGGCUCUUACCGUUGCCAUCCCAUCUUGAGUGGCUUCCUGAUGUUGCCGGCUGGCAGGGCAGGCCCCGUGCUGUGGAGCAUGGGGGACCCUUCCCUCCCAGGGCCAGGCUCUUGGCAGCCGGGCCAAGCCGCUGCUGGAAUGGAAUUCCCGGCGUUCCUGGUGGGGCACAUGGCAUCGGAAUCCUACCUGCUUUGUCUCUGGCAUCAGCUGGCGAGCUGGUCACGUGGCCAUGUGCGUGAGUGAGACCAGAGCCCAGGACUGAGGGCUCCUCCUGGGCAGCUUCCUCCUCGCUCACUCACUCCCACCCUCUUUUUUUGGCUUUCAGCAGGACCCGCUCUGAGCAGGCGUAAAGCAGUGUUAAAAUCAAACAGAAUCCAGGCAGCAGGGAGCUCCUGUCCACUGCAGGAGGCUCUCACGGUCUGCCCAGACCACCCUUUAUCUCAAGUCCUUAUUGACAGAAAGGCCCUGAUGUGUCCCAUACGCCCAGGAGUCAGGCUCAGAGCCGGGCGGUGGUCACUCCACGCCGUCCCAUCUAGUGUAGAGCUGGCCCUGCCUGCCCCCGGACAGCUGUGGGGUAGGUGGCCCCGCUUCCUGGGGAGCCCCUUCCCACACUUCCAGCCUUGUUGCUCACCUGCACAAGGACAACCCUGUGGUCACUGCUGCAGCUCCCGGUCACAGAGGGUGACAGGGGAAAGCUGGACAAACACGUGACCCAGCAGACCCAGCCUUAUGCCUGCAGGAGAGAGCAGUGGGGUCCGAUAUUUUAUCUCCAGAUCAAAGAGCCACAGUGAAACCCCAGGCCUGCCAACCCCAGUUGUAGGGCCAGAGGACUGGGAUGUUUCCCUGACAUGGUGGCAAGGUUUGGUUUUGGUGAAAUCAAAGAUUUGUGAGGGUGUGAGAGUAGGGGAUGACGGGCCUGGACUCCCCCCCUCGGACCCUGUCCACUGCCGGCUGCCUGGCCACCCUCAGCCCCCUCAGCAUCAAGCGCCCACUGGGUGCCUGGACGGGGCUUGGGGCUCUGUGCACGUUGUUAAUUCUGCCACUCCAGCAGCCCUGAGUGGGAGGAGCCAUUAUCCCCUUUCAUUCUAUAGAUAGGGAAACUGAGGCAGGCUUGCCCGUGAUGAAGUGGCGAGUUGGACACAGGGCCAGAUUCAAACCUGCAGCCUGGGCUCCCAGCUAUAGCAGCGCCAGCCUCUAGGGGCGUUAGAAGAGGGCUCACUGCGAGGGCCCUGGCUAGAGCGGCUUUCAGGGUGGGGUCUCUGGCCUCACCCUAGGGAAAUGGCCAGGGCGCUGGCUGCUGCCUGCUGAGCCUGGCAUGGGAACAAUGCGGCCUCUAUCCCUGGAGCGAGCCAGGCCGCCUGGACGCCCAGCCCCUCGGAGCAGCCCGGCCAGGCAGGCGCCCACAGCAUGGCGCCCAGUGAGUGCUACCCGUCCACGGGGUGCUGGCACCUUGGCCAGGCCUGGGCGGCCGCUCCCCUUGUCCUCCCUGGCUGGCCACUGAGUGGCCAUACGCCGGCUUCCUCCUCCCUCUCCCGCCCAGCCAGCCUCCUCCUUUUUUGGUGGUGGGUUUGGGGGCCCGGCCCACCCGCCACUGCCACGUCUGCCAUCCUCCUGCACCCACGAGCAUCUUUCAAAAAUUCCCGGUGGGCGGGGCCGAGCUGCAGCGUCCGCCUCUGCCCCCCCUCCCCGGGCAGCCAGUGCCAGAUGAGAGCAGGAGACAAAAGUAGCAUUUUCCUCGUACUCCGGGGCUGGCAGUGGGGCCUUCCCCCAGCGCCACAUGGCUCCUGGCAGCCCUGCCCCCUGUGCCGGGGUGGCUGAGGCCCAGCAGGGCCCACUGGACCGAAGGACGGCAGCGGCCAGAGACCAGGGGGCCACAGGCCUGCGGCCGGGGCUGGCACCGGACAGGCUGGUGGCGGGCGGGACCUGCCCUCCUCCCCCGCCCGGGUGACCGGCCAGGCCCGGGGACGUCAUUUUCACUUCCUGGCUUUGGAGAAGGCGCCUCCAUCUUCCGGCACCUCGGAGCCCUCCAUCUUCCGAGGAGGACGCCCUGCCAAAAACUGCAGGGAAAAUGCAGGAGCCAAGCCCAUUUACUUUCAAGAUUCAAAGCUACAGGCUUUAGAAAUCACAAUAAAAAUGAAUGUUUAUCAUUUCACAGUAGCUGCGUCUUCCAUUACGGUGGGAACAAACGCUUCGGAGGCACUAACGGCCACGGCCGCCUCCUGCCUGCCUGGCUGUGUCGGUUUGUGUGGAGGCCUCAUUAUUAUUAUUUUAUUUUAAUUUUUGGCGGCACCAGGACUGGCAUAGGGAAAACCACCAGGACCAUCCACAGCUCCUCCCAGCAAACUCAUCGGCAGGCAGGGCCAGGCCGGCCCCGGGAGGGAGGACUUUGCAUCUAGAAACAGAGGCCCUUUUAUGUUGUCCGGCAUCUUUAAUGUGACCAUGUCCACAGUUUAGGGAUCGAGUUCUUUCUCCCUUUCAUUUUAGUUUUUGGGGAAAAAAAAGAAAAAGAAAGAAAGCUCCUUUUGGCCCUCAGCUCAGCAUAGGGAAAAAUAUUUUCGGUUGUUGUGGGCUUUGUUUUUGAGCAUUUACUUCAACUUGGGGGUUCCACCUGAAAGUGCUGUGCCUGUCGUGUCACCGCCCUGCCCACAGGCUGCGUGUGGAGUGUGCAUGCGUGGGCACCAUCCACUACACAGACCCUCAGGGAAGCCUGAGUGGCCUCAUGGCCUGCCCAUGUCCUGGAUCCCAUGCCAGGGGAUCCUCACCUGCAGAGCUGCUGGGGGAGACACCCAGGUCGUGCAGGGCCUGAAACAUGGCCGGCAGGGCUGAGAGUCCCUCAAAGACCUUUGUGUCCCCCCACCUCGCCACCGCUGUCCAGGAGCUGCGCUCAGUGGCUGCCCGGGUGUCCCUGUUGGUCCCUGGCCCUCCAGAAGCACUGACCGUUUUGAUUCCGAGGUGGGCUUCGCAGAGCACUGCUCCGGGCCCACCUCCAUGCUCUGGCAGGCUAACAAAAGCGUCCUCGGAUGCAGCCUGGUUCCCCACCCUUGAGGAGAGCCAGGGUCUUGAUUUAUGGAAAAUGGAAAAUCAGACCCGGAAAGUUAAAAAAUGGCACCGCGAGGAAAACUCCCAUGGAAAUCCAUCUUUGUUUUCUCAGUUCGGAGGCGCGUGGGCCCUGCGUGCGCCGGUCUCGGUCUGAGCGGCCGGCCUCGGCAGACAGCACCAAAUCUGAAAACGGAGCUCGGCUAACACGAGGACUCUCAGCGGCUGCUUUUGUUCUUAGAUGAGCCAGCAGUCGAGACUGGAGGGUUUGGGGCUGCAGAAACAGGCAUAUAUAUAUAGCAGAGAUAAUUAAAACAUUUCAUGACAUGACAGCCACAUUCUGCUGCUGCAAGUUGGAGGAUUCAUGCCACCCAAAUAUUUAGCAAGCAUCAAAUAAAACACUGGUGGCAAAAUAAAAGUAAUAGAGAAGAAAAGCACAAUACAUUUAAAAGCAAAAGAGUCAAGGUGAUAGGGAAUGGGCAGGGGAGAAGUGGGAGAGUUCAGCAUUUUAAAAGAAUUUACGUGUUGAAUAACUGGCUACUCGUUUUUUUUUUUUUUUUUGUAUAAUUAAUGUAGGCAAAUAGACCCUUAAUCCUAAAUCCUGGAUUGAGAGAUGGGCAAAUUUCCUGAUCAUUAAUUUGUUUUUGUUUUUUGUUUUCUUGGACAAGAUAGGGGCAAGUAGCAGAAAAAUCAGUUAAUUCACAUAAAGGAACAUUUUCAUUCUAAAUUAGUAUUGCCAUUGCAAUUAAAUUUAUCUAGUGUUUUUAACAUGCAUGAAAAAUUCACUGUCCCACGUACACCUUCGGUACCUGGGACCGUUGUAUGUGAUCGACUAGCAUCUUAGUUUUUUAACUUGGAUAACAUUCGACCCUCCCCCACCACCCUCAAAAUCAGUAAUAUGCUACGGAUUCUGCUUUUUAAAAAAAUCAGGCCAAAAUCUCAGCAUUCUCCAUGGCACCCAGUGCUUCUCGGCAGUAUUUUUUUUUUUUUUUUUUUUGAAGAAAGUACCACGCAAAGCACUUUUCACAUCAUCGCUUCUAUAUAAAUUCCACUAUAGACUGAAAUUAUACAUUCUCGCAGCACAGAUGGGCUGGUCUGUCAUUACGGCUGCUGGGUACUUGUUGGAACACACAGCAUAUUUCAAUUGUGGAGUCGACAAUUUCGAAGAACUGGGGUCAAAAUAAACAAGUUGCAUUUGUGUAUAGAAACAGACUUAUUCAAUGAUCUUCUCAUCCCUUGGAAAAUUCGCCAGAGGGGCAAUCACCACCUUCAUUAAACUUUAAUUUAAUUUUUGGUCUGUAUCUUUUAAGACCCCACAUGCCCUAUGUCAAAGGCCCAUCAAUGUUUUAAUUCAUGACCAAUUUUUCUCUUCUGCUGCAGCAUCAGCAGUGGAAAACAAGAUUUAAAUUCAGACUCGUGGCUGUGGUUUUGACUAUCUUUUAAUUUUAACAUCUUAAUAAUUUUAAUAUCUUACUAAUCUCUAUAGGGAAGGUGUUAAAUCUCUAACGGUUCUAUGUUGAGUUACAUAUUAUUUUGAGGCCUUUAUGAAAAAUCAGAUUAUUUAUAUUUAGGAUGCUCUAAAGAUACAUUUAAAUCCAAACUCCACCAACAAAAAAAUGCAGCAGGUAAAAUACGUAGAGUAGCCAUAAACUUAAAAAAAAAUUAUCUCACCAAGAUAACAAAGGGCAGAAUUUAUUGGUUUGUAUCAACCUCCUUGAGGGCAGAGCAGUUUUUACAGCCACAAUAAUUUGCAAAUGAUGAUAACUGUUUAUUUUGCGAAUAUGCUCAUGUUAUGAUGCAAUCAGUGAGGCCUUCUUUCUUUUCCCUUAUGUGUGUUUGCCUCUGUGUUUCUAAAUUCCGGAUUCCGGCUCUGCAGUUCCUCGCCGGCUGAGACCACGUUCCCACGUUCCUGCCUCAGUGGCGGUGGCCAGGAGGAGGGAAGGGUGCGCCCCCUGUGUUGCCUCCUGCGAGCUCCAGCCACCGCAUCCAUAUUUGUUCAUAGAAGCGCUUUGUUGCAGCUUGUGUGCUUUAAGGGAUGUACCUGUUGGCGGAGAUGUUAGCAAACAAUAGGAAAAGUAAAAAGUUGAUGAAAUUCACCAGAGCUGCUUGGGAGCCUGCUCUGCUGUCUGGCAGUUUUAAACCACAUCUUCUUUUCCAAUUCUGGUCUUUGAGCCUAUUGACUCCUGCCUCCGUAGCAGGGAUAUGGCCCAGGUCUGGGGGCUCUAAAAGAUGAGGCCACGUGAAACGGCCCCAGCCUUUGGGCCACAGAGUCUCUAAGCAGCCGUGGGCGUGGCGAUGGCGGUAACAGUAGCAGUGGCACUCCCUGCUGCUGUUCCCAUGCCCGCUGCGUGCCGUGGCACCUGUGUUUGGAAGAGCACUGGCCCUGGGGCCCGAAGUCCGAGUUCAGACCGAGUCGUCUUUGAUUUGGGGCCGUGUUGAUCCAGGGCAAGUGAUUUCACGUCUCCAGCCUCAUAUUCUUAUCUGUAAAAUGGAGGCAGUAAGAGUCAACUUGCUGAACCCAUGGAAAGCUGGGAUCAUGGUGAGCACCCCAUAAAUGGUUUUGCUUCCUUGCCUGAUUUCUGAGGCUCAGAUGAUGCCUGCAAGGGGGCAUUAGCAUCACCUCCAUUCCACCGGGGAGGCAGCGAACCUCGGAGAGGCUAAGUGGGUUCCCCAAGGUUCAAUCAGCUGAUCAGGGCCGGGCCAGGACUUGAACCCAGCCCUGCCAUUUUCCAAAGCCCAGGUUCUGCCACAGCAUUCACCGAAUGUGGCCCCACCCCAGAGUACCACCCGAGACAUCAGGAGCCCAUUGUGGGCGUGGGAACACCCUCCGGGACCUCACGGCCCAGGUAGCUGCAUCUUUACCCUCCCCCUGGGCAGGAAAGGGCUCACUCCAGUCAGAAGCAGCCUGGAGAUGGGUGGUCUGGCAGAGAGGGUGAAACCCCAGCACCAGCCAAGUCCCCAGGCCCCACCUUGCAGCCGGGUCUGCCCUGCCCAGAGUACCCGAGGGAUUCAGCCUGACCCUGCUGGGUGGAAGAGACCCCACUCCAGGCCCAGGAGUGAGGGAGUAGAACAAAGCGUCCCUGGCCUGCUGUCCACAGCCCUGCCUGGCAACGGGGACCCCCCCACCCACCUCCUCGCCGUCCAGGUGGUCUGUGGGCACCCAGGGCUUUAGGCAGCCCCUGAGCUGGGCCCAGGCCUCAUGGCAGCCUCAGGGCAGUGGGGGCCGGAGCCGACAGGGAACAGAUGCGGGAAGAGCGCCCCACAUUCCGGGGGGCUCCACCGUAAAAACUCCAUCAGCGUUUCCCUUU